rnacentral:rRNA from 1 species
GUUUGUGAUGAUGCAAUCUACCCGCGGCUAGACGGAAAGACCCCAUGAACCUUUACUGUAGCUUUGCAUUGGACUUUGAAUCAAUCUGUGUAGGAUAGGUGGGAGGCUUUGAAGUAGGGACGCCAGUCUCUAUGGAGCCAUCCUUGAAAUACCACCCUGGUUCAUUUGAGGUUCUAACCUUGGCCCGUUAUCCGGGUCGGGGACAGUGCAUGGUAGGCAGUUUGACUGGGGCGGUCUCCUCCUAAAGUGUAACGGA